GGAGUUAGCCGGUGCUUCUUCUGUGAGUGAUGUCCUUCCUGCCGGCUAUUAACCCGCAGGCCUUCUUCCUCACUGAAAGUGCUUUACAACCCGAAGGCCUUCUUCACACACGCGGCAUGGCUGGAUCAGGGUUGCCCCCAUUGUCCAAUAUUCCCCACUGCUGCCUCCCGUAGGAGUCUGGGCCGUGUCUCAGUCCCAGUGUGGCUGAUCAUCCUCUCAGACCAGCUACGGAUCGUCGCCUUGGUGAGCCGUUACCUCACCAACCAGCUAAUCCGACAUAGGCUCAUCCGAUAGCGCGAGGCCCGAAGGUCCCCCGCUUUCCCCCGUAGGGCGUAUGCGGUAUUAGCCUGGGUUUCCCCCAGGUUAUCCCCCACUACCGGGCAGAUUCCUAUGCAUUACUCACCCGUCCGCCGCUCGCCACCAGGGAGCAAGCUCCCCGUGCUGCCGCUCGACUUGCAUGUGUUAGGCCUGCCGCCAGCGUCAUCUGAGCAGAAUACAACUACUGA
rnacentral:rRNA from 1 species